UUUCAUUGUAUUUUUGCAAACUUUUAUUUAUUUAUUUAUUUUACUUUAAGUUCCAGGAUACAUGUACAGAAUGUGCAGGUUUGUUACAUAGGUAUACAUGUGCCAUGGUGGUUUGCUGCACCUAUCAACCUGUCAUCUAGGUUUUAAGCCCCGCAUACAUUAGGUAUUUGUCCUAAUGCUCUCCCUCCCCUUGUCCCCACCGCCGACAGGCUCCAGUGUGUGUUGUUCCCUUCCUUGUGUCCAUGUGUUUUCAUCGUUCAACUCCCACUUAUGAAUGAGAACAUGCAGUGUUUGGUUUUCUGUUCCUGUGUUAGUUUGCUGAGAAUGAUGGCUUCCAGCUUCAUCCAUGUCCCUGCAAAGGACAUGAUCUCAUUCUUUUUGAUGGCUGCAUAGUAUUCCAUGGUGUAUAUGUGCCACAUUUUCUUUAUUCAGUCUAUCAUUGAUGGCCAUUUGGGUUGGUUCCAAGUAUUUGCUGUUGUGAAUAGUGCUGCAAUAAGCAUACGUGGAAAACACCUCUUUUGAUAACUGAUAGUAUGAUUGGGACCUGAGUAUUUAAUAGACAUUUUCUAAAAAAAACAAAGUAAGCUAAUCACUUCAAAGGAAACAACUGACAUUAUUUGAUGCCAAUGAGAAAAUUUGAGUUUUCAAGAAAAAGGUUAGAAUUUUGAAAAACUUAUCCAGGCGUGAGCCACUGCGCCCGGCCUAAGCUCCACCUCUUAA
rnacentral:lncRNA from 10 species